GAUGAACGCUAGCGGCAGGCCUAACACAUGCAAGUCGAGCGAGCGGCGGACGGGUGAGUAAUGUAUGGGGACUGCCCGAUAGAGGGGGAUAACUCCUGGAAACGGUAGCUAAUACCGCAUACUAUCGGAUAACCCAUAUGGGAUUAGCUAGGAGGGGAGGUAAUGGCUCACCUAGGCGACGAUCCCUAGCUGGUCUGAGAGGAUGAUCAGCCACACUGGGACGGGGACACGGCCCAGACUCCUACGGGGGCAGCAGUGGGGAAUAUUGCACAAUGGGAGCAAGCCUGAUGCAGCCAUGCCGCGUGUAUGAAGAAGGCCCUAGGGUUGUAAAGUACUUUCAGUCGGGAGGCGUUACCGACAGAAGAAGCACCGGAUAACUCCGUGCCAGCAGCCGCGGUAAUA
rnacentral:rRNA from 1 species